GAUGAACGCUGGCGGCGUGCUUAACACAUGCAAGUCGAACGGAGAGCCCGGGAAGGAGUUUUCGGACAACGGACUGGGUAUCUUAGUGGCGGACGGGUGAGUAACGCGUGAGUAACCUGCCUGGGAGUGGGGAAUAACACAGAGAAAUCUGUGCUAAUACCGCAUAAUGCAGUUGAGUCGCAUGGCUCUGACUGCCAAAGAUUUAUCGCUCUUAGAUGGACUCGCGUCUGAUUAGCUGGAUGGCGGGGUAGAGGCCCACCAUGGCGACGAUCAGUAGCCGGACUGAGAGGUUGGCCGGCCACAUUGGGACUGAGACACGGCCCAG
rnacentral:rRNA from 1 species